GACGAACGCUGGCGGCGUGCUUAACACAUGCAAGUCGAACGGAAAGGCCCUGCUUUUGUGGGGUGCUCGAGUGGCGAACGGGUGAGUAACACGUGAGUAACCUGCCCUUGACUUUGGGAUAACUUCAGGAAACUGGGGCUAAUACCGGAUAGGAGCUCCUGCUGCAUGGUGGGGGUUGGAAAGUUUCGGCGGUUGGGGAUGGACUCGCGGCUUAUCAGCUUGUUGGUGGGGUAGUGGCUUACCAAGGCUUUGACGGGUAGCCGGCCUGAGAGGGUGACCGGCCAAAUUGGGACUGAGGUACGGCCCAGACUCCUACGGGAGGCAGAAGUGGGGAAUAUUGCACAAUGGGCGGAAGCCUGAUGCAGCAACGCCGCGUGCGGGAUGACGGCCUUCGGGUUGUAAACCGCUUUCGCCUGUGACGAAGCGUGAGUGACGGUAAUGGGUAAAGAAGCACCGGCUAACUACGUG
rnacentral:rRNA from 1 species